rnacentral:rRNA from 1 species
CCUGGCUCAGGAUGAACGCUGGCGGCGUGCUUAACACAUGCAAGUCGAACGAUGAUGCCCACUUGUGGGUGGAUUAGUGGCGAACGGGUGAGUAACACGUGAGUAACCUGCCCUUGACUCUGGGAUAAGCCUGGGAAACUGGGUCUAAUACCGGAUAUGACCUUCCAUCGCAUGGUGGUUGGUGGAAAGCUUUUGUGGUUUUGGAUGGACUCGCGGCCUAUCAGCUUGUUGGUGGGGUAAUGGCCUACCAAGGCGACGACGGGUAGCCGGCCUGAGAGGGUGACCGGCCACACUGGGACUGAGACACGGCCCAGACUCCUACGGGAGGCAGCAGUGGGGAAUAUUGCACAAUGGGCGCAAGCCUGAUGCAGCGACGCCGCGUGAGGGAUGACGGCCUUCGGGUUGUAAACCUCUUUCAGUAGGGAAGAAGCGUAAGUGACGGUACCUGCAGAAGAAGCGCCGGCUAACUACGUGCCAGCAGCCGCGGUAAUACGUAGGGCGCAAGCGUUAUCCGGAAUUAUUGGGCGUAAAGAGCUCGUAGGCGGUUUGUCGCGUCUGCCGUGAAAGUCCGGGGCUCAACUCCGGAUCUGCGGUGGGUACGGGCAGACUAGAGUGAUGUAGGGGAGACUGGAAUUCCUGGUGUAGCGGUGAAAUGCGCAGAUAUCAGGAGGAACACCGAUGGCGAAGCAGGUCUCUGGGCAUUAACUGACGCUGAGAGCGAAAGCAUGGGGAGCGAACAGGAUUAGAUACCCUGGAGUCCAUGCCGUAAACGUUGGGCACUAGGUGUGGGGGACAUUCCACGUUUUCCGCGCCGUAGCUAACGCAUUAAGUGCCCCGCCUGGGGAGUACGGCCGCAAGGCUAAAACUCAAAGGAAUUGACGGGGGCCCGCACAAGCGGCGGAGCAUGCGGAUUAAUUCGAUGCAACGCGAAGAACCUUACCAAGGCUUGACAUGAACCGGAAAGACCUGGAAACAGGUCCCCCACUUGUGGUCGGUUUACAGGUGGUGCAUGGUUGUCGUCAGCUCGUGUCGUGAGAUGUUGGGUUAAGUCCCGCAACGAGCGCAACCCUCGUUCUAUGUUGCCAGCACGUGAUGGUGGGGACUCAUAGGAGACUGCCGGGGUCAACUCGGAGGAAGGUGGGGACGACGUCAAAUCAUCAUGCCCCUUAUGUCUUGGGCUUCACGCAUGCUACAAUGGCCGGUACAAAGGGUUGCGAUACUGUGAGGUGGAGCUAAUCCCAAAAAGCCGGUCUCAGUUCGGAUUGGGGUCUGCAACUCGACCCCAUGAAGUCGGAGUCGCUAGUAAUCGCAGAUCAGCAACGCUGCGGUGAAUACGUUCCCGGGCCUUGUACACACCGCCCGUCA